GCGGCGGUAGCUCAGAGGGAGAGCACCACCUUGACACGGUGGGGGUCAUAGGUUCGAUUCCUAUCCGCCGCACCA
rnacentral:tRNA from 1 species